rnacentral:tRNA from 13 species
UGUUCUGUAGUGUAGUGGUUAUCACGUCUGCCUUAUACGCAGAAGGUCCCCGGUUCGAUCCCGGGCAGAACAA